rnacentral:lncRNA from 1 species
CCGUCCUGCAGAAGAGGCGAACCUGCGCUAAUGACACGGGUGGCGCCUGGUGCUUAGGUCCUGUUGCCAUCGUUUUGGACAGUUAAGUGCCCGCGAGCUAAACCCGGUGUCUUCGUUUAGUACUGGGAGCUUGGCAUCGGUGUUAAACUAGUUGAGGAGGUGUUUGGUUCAGAAUGGCUUCAGUCGUUUGAACUCCCAGCUCUCUGGAUUUGAGACCUCAACCAUCAGCCUCUCAGGAGAGGUUGAGGUUUGGAGAAAAUCGAGGAACAGAGUUUGCAAGCCAGUGGCAACAAUGACGGUUAAACUUCCCAGUCACUGCCUUUAGUUCCACUCUGGGCCGAGCUCCGUUUGGGGCUCACCUCCUCUUUGGUCAGGCGGACAUCAGCUGAGGAAACGUGCAGUGAGUAUGGGAGAGUCCCUUGUAAAGGAGCAGGCUUCAGCCUUCCAGGUGCAGAAAUGGAAAUGUGUACAAGGUAUGGCGACGGGAAAGAGGGGCAGCGAUCGCCUGCUGGAAGACCGUCACAGAGAACAUAGGUCUUGAUCUGGGGCUUCGAAGACGAAGGACCGGUGGUGGGUGCACUGCAGGCAAAAGCUGGCAGGCUGACAGAGGCGGCCUCAGGACGGACCUUCUGGCUAUUGACCAUUUUGCUGUGGCUCACCCGGACCGUGUGGAGGCGCGAGAUCAACCAUGAGCUCCGUUGCAGUUUUGACCCAAGAGAGCUUUGCUGAGCACCGCAGUGGACUCAUUCCGCAGCAGAUAAGAGUUGCCACUUUAAAUUCAGAAGAGGAGAGCGACCCUCCAACCUACAAGGAUGCCUUCCCCCCGCUCCCCGAGAAAGCAGCUUGCUUGGAAAACCCCCAGGAACCUGCCGGCGCCUGGAGCAACAAAAUCCGGCCCAUCAAGGCGUCCGUCAUCACUCAGGUGUUCCACGUACCCCUGGAGGAGAGGAAGUACAAGGACAUGAACCAGUUUGGAGAAGGUGAACAAGCCAAAAUCUGCCUCGAGAUCAUGCAGAGGACCGGCGCUCACCUGGAGCUGUCCCUCGCCAAAGACCAGGGCCUCUCCAUCAUGGUUUCUGGGAAGCUGGACGCCGUCAUGAAGGCCCGGAAGGACAUUGUCGCUCGGCUGCAGACUCAGGCCUCCGCCACCGUUGCCAUCCCCAAAGAGCACCAUCGCUUUGUCAUCGGCAAAAACGGAGAGAAACUGCAGGACUUGGAGCUCAAAACCGCAACCAAAAUCCAGAUCCCACGCCCCGAUGACGCCAGCAAUCAGAUCAGGAUCACCGGCACCAAAGAGGGCAUCGAGAAGGCUCGCCACGAGGUCCUGCUCAUCUCCGCGGAGCAGGUGAGGCCAGGCGGGCCGGGCCGGGCCGGGCCGUCCGGGGCCCUGGCCGGCGCGGCGCCCUCACGGCCGAGGGCCGCGCCCGCGCUGGCCGCCCUCCCUCCGACGCCCGGGCGCUCUCCUCAGAAAAAGAAGACCACCACCAUCGCGGUCGAGGUGAAGAAGUCCCAGCACAAGUACGUCAUCGGCCCCAAGGGCAACUCCUUGCAAGAGAUUCUGGAAAGAACCGGCGUUUCUGUGGAGAUCCCACCUUCAGACAGCGCCUCCGAGACUGUGAUCCUUCGAGGCGAGCCCGAGAAGCUGGGGCAGGCGUUGACAGAGGUCUAUGCCAAGGCCAACAGCUUCACGGUCUCCUCCGUCUCGGCUCCUUCCUGGCUUCACCGUUUCAUCAUUGGCAAGAAGGGUCAGAACCUGGCCAAAAUCACCCAGCAGAUGCCCAAGGUUCACGUUGAGUUCACAGAAGGCGAGGACAGGAUCACCCUGGAAGGCCCCACGGAGGACGUCAGCGCGGCCCAGGAGCAGAUCGAAGCCAUGGUCAAGGACUUGGUGAGCCGGAUGGACUACGUGGAGAUCAGCAUCGACCACAAGUUCCACAGACACCUCAUCGGGAAGAGCGGGGCCAACAUAAACAGGAUCAAGGACCAGUACAAGGUGUCGGUGCGCAUACCCCCCGACAGCGAGAGGAGCAGCCUGAUCCGCAUCGAGGGCGACCCGCAGGGCGUGCAGCAGGCCAAGCGCGAGCUGCUGGAGCUCGCCUCCCGCAUGGAGAACGAGCGCACCAAGGAUCUGAUCAUCGAGCAGAGGUUCCAUCGCACCAUCAUCGGGCAGAAGGGGGAGCGGAUCCGAGAGAUUCGGGACAAAUUCCCGGAGGUUAUCAUCAACUUUCCAGACCCAGCCCAGAAAAGCGAUAUUGUUCAACUCAGGGGGCCCAAGAACGAGGUGGAAAAAUGCACGAAAUACAUGCAGAAGAUGGUGGCAGAUCUGGUGGAAAACAGCUAUUCGAUUUCUGUUCCGAUCUUCAAGCAGUUUCACAAGAACAUCAUCGGGAAAGGAGGGGCCAACAUUAAGAAGAUUCGAGAAGAGAGCAACACCAAGAUCGACCUCCCCGCCGAGAACAGCAACUCAGAGACCAUUGUCAUCACAGGCAAGCGAGCCAACUGCGAGGCUGCCCGGAGCCGCAUUCUGUCCAUCCAGAAAGACCUGGCCAACAUCGCCGAGGUGGAGGUCGCCAUCCCUGCCCGGCUGCACAACGCCCUCAUCGGCACCAAGGGCCGGCUCAUCCGCUCCAUCAUGGAGGAGUGCGGCGGCGUCCACAUCCACUUCCCCGUGGAAGGCUCCGGGAGCGACACCGUGGUCAUCAGGGGCCCUUCCUCCGACGUGGAGAAGGCCCGCAAGCAGCUCCUGCACCUGGCGGAGGAGAAGCAAACCAAGAGCUUCACCGUCGACAUCCGAGCCAAGCCGGAAUACCACAAGUUCCUCAUCGGCAAAGGGGGCGGCAAAAUCCGCAAGGUGCGCGACAGCACCGGGGCCCGCAUCAUCUUCCCCGCCGCCGAGGACAAGGACCAGGACCUGAUCACCAUCAUAGGCAGGGAGGACGCCGUCCGGGAGGCCCAGCGGGAGCUGGAGGCCCUGAUCCAGAACCUGGACAACGUGGUUGAGGACUUCAUGCUGGUGGACCCCAGGCACCACCGUCACUUUGUCAUCCGACGAGGCCAGGUCCUGCGGGAGAUCGCGGAGGAGUACGGCGGGGUGAUGGUUAGCUUCCCCCGCUCCGGCACGCAGAGCGACAGAGUCACCCUGAAGGGGGCCAAGGACUGCGUGGAGGCGGCCAAGAAGCGCAUUCAGGAGAUCAUCGAGGACCUGGAAGCCCAGGUGACCAUAGAGUGCGCCAUUCCCCAGAAGUUCCAUCGCUCGGUCAUGGGCCCCAAAGGUUCCAGAAUCCAGCAGAUAACUCGCGACCAUAACGUUCAGAUUAAAUUCCCAGACAGAGAGGAGAACCCAGCGCACGGCACGGAGCCAGCCGUCCAGGAGAACGGCGACGACCCCGGGGAGGGGAGAGACGGGAAGGAGGCCGAGCCCGGCUCCCCCAGGAGAUGCGACAUCAUCACCAUCUCCGGCCGGAAGGAGAAGUGCGAGGCCGCCAAGGAGGCCCUUGAGGUGCGUCGGAGGCUCUGCUCCCUGGGGGUCGGGGCGGGGGGGCACCUGUCCCCUCAGCCCUGCACCCUGAGGGCCUUGGCUGGCACUGCAGGGCUGGCGGGUCUCAGACUCCCCCUCGGUGCUGUGAAUAUUCACGUCCCGGCCCCCGAGCUGCAGUCAGGCGUCAUCGCCAUCACGGGCCUGGCUGCCAACCUGGACCGGGCCAAGGCUGGGCUGCUGGAGCGGGUGAAGGAGCUGCAGGCGGAGCAGGAAGACCGGGCUUUGCGGAGCUUCAAGCUGAGCGUCACCGUUGACCCCAAGUACCACCCCAAGAUCAUCGGGCGAAAGGGGGCGGUGAUCACCCAGAUCCGCCUGGAGCACGACGUCAACAUCCAGUUUCCUGAUAAGGACGAUGGGAGCCAGCCGCAGGACCACAUCACCAUCACGGGCUACGAGAAGAACACCGAGGCCGCCCGGGACGCCAUCCUCAAGAUCGUGGGGGAGCUCGAGCAGAUGGUUUCUGAGGACGUGCCGCUCGACCACCGCGUCCACGCCCGCAUCAUCGGUGCCCGCGGCAAAGCCAUCCGCAAGAUCAUGGAUGAGUUCAAGGUGGACAUUCGCUUCCCGCAGAGCGGGGCCCCCGACCCCAACUGCGUCACCGUGACGGGGCUGCCGGAGAACGUGGAGGAAGCCAUCGACCACAUCCUCAACCUGGAGGAGGAAUACCUGGCCGACGUGGUGGACACCGAGGCGCUGCAGCUGUACAUGAAGCCCCCGGCCCACGAGGAGGCCAAGGCGCCGUCCAGGGGCUUCGUGGUGCGGGACGCCCCCUGGACCGCCAGCAGCAGCGAGAAGGCUCCCGACAUGAGCAGCUCGGAGGAGUUCCCCAGCUUCGGGGCUCAGGUGGCCCCCAAGACCCUCCCCUGGGGCCCCAAACGAUAAUGCUCGACAAGCAGAAACCUCUCCAGCCUGCUGACCUGAACCCGCCACACGAUGGUCCGUCUCAAUCCGACCCAGCGGCUGGACCCUCCGCAAAUUCUUGACGCCCCUUCCCCGAGGUCUCACAGCGAAGCCGGCGUGGCCCGCGCCCUGGCGGCCGGGUCUCAGGCCUGGCCGCCCCCGGCACAGGCUCUGCUCCCGACCUCUGUGCUGGGGUGGCGGCCGCACGAGCCCCGCGGAGGCCCGCGUCAUCCACCCGGCCUGCCCCGGCUCCGGCCUCCCCGGGAGAGCGCUGCAGCUGCGGCCGCGUCCACUUCCUGUGUCACGACCUCAGGAAAUAAAUGUCCUUGACUUUC